rnacentral:rRNA from 1 species
AGCCUGAUCCAGCCAUUCCGCGUGAGUGAAGAAGGCCUUCGGGUUGUAAAGCUCUUUCGCAAGGGAAGAAACGUUACGAGNGAAUAACUCGUGAUAAUGACGGUACCUUGAUAAGAAGCACCGGCUAACUACGUGCCAGCAGCCGCGGUAAUACGUAGGGUGCGAGCGUUAAUCGGAAUUACUGGGCGUAAAGCGUGCGCAGGCGGUUUUGUAAGUCAGAUGUGAAAUCCCCGGGCUCAACCUGGGAACUGCGUUUGAAACUACAAGGCUAGAGUGUAGCAGAGGGGGGUAGAAUUCCACGUGUAGCAGUGAAAUGCGUAGAGAUGUGGAGGAAUACCAAUGGCGAAGGCAGCCCCCUGGGUUAACACUGACGCUCAUGCACGAAAGCGUGGGGAGCAAACAGGAUUAGAUACCCUGGUAGUCCACGCCCUAAACGAUGUCAACUAGUUGUUGGUGGAGUAAAAUCCAUUAGUAACGCAGCUAACGCGUGAAGUUGACCGCCUGGGGAGUACGGUCGCAAGAUUAAAACUCAAAGAAAA